rnacentral:rRNA from 1 species
UUAGUACGGCGAGUGAAGCGGUAAAAGCUCAAAUUUGAAAUCUGGUACUUUCAGUGCCCGAGUUGUAAUUUGUAGAAUUUGUCUUUGAUUAGGUCCUUGUCUAUGUUCCUUGGAACAGGACGUCAUAGAGGGUGAGAAUCCCGUUUGGCGAGGAUACCUUUUCUCUGUAAGACUUUUUCGAAGAGUCGAGUUGUUUGGGAAUGCAGCUCAAAGUGGGUGGUAAAUUCCAUCUAAAGCUAAAUAUUGGCGAGAGACCGAUAGCGAACAAGUACAGUGAUGGAAAGAUGAAAAGAACUUUGAAAAGAGAGUGAAAAAGUACGUGAAAUUGUUGAAAGGGAAGGGCAUUUGAUCAGACAUGGUGUUUUUUGCAUGCACUCGCCUCUCGUGGGCUUGGGCCUCUCAAAAAUUUCACUGGGCCAACAUCAAUUCUGGCAGCAGGAUAAAUCAUUAAGAAUGUAGCUACUUCGGUAGUGUUAUAGCUUUUUGGAAUACUGUUAGCCGGGAUUGAGGACUGCGCUUCGGCAAGGAUGUUGGCAUAAUGGUUAAAUGCCGCCCGUCUUGA